rnacentral:rRNA from 1 species
AGAGUUUGAUCAUGGCUCAGAUUGAACGCUGGCGGCAGGCCUAACACAUGCAAGUCGAACGGUAACAGGAAGAAGCUUGCUUCUUUGCUGACGAGUGGCGGACGGGUGAGUAAUGUCUGGGAAACUGCCUGAUGGAGGGGGAUAACUACUGGAAACGGUAGCUAAUACCGCAUAACGUCGCAAGACCAAAGAGGGGGACCUUCGGGCCUCUUGCCAUCGGAUGUGCCCAGAUGGGAUUAGCUAGUAGGUGGGGUAACGGCUCACCUAGGCGACGAUCCCUAGCUGGUCUGAGAGGAUGACCAGCCACACUGGAACUGAGACACGGUCCAAACUCCUACGGGAGGCAGCAGUGGGGAAUAUUGCACAAUGGGCGCAAGCCUGAUGCAGCCAUGCCGCGUGUAUGAAGAAGGCCUUCGGGUUGUAAAGUACUUUCAGCGGGGAGGAAGGGAGUAAAGUUAAUACCUUUGCUCAUUGACGUUACCCGCAGAAGAAGCACCGGCUAACUCCGUGCCAGCAGCCGCGGUAAUACGGAGGGUGCAAGCGUUAAUCGGAAUUGCUGGGCGUAAAGCGCACGCAGGCGGUUUGUUAAGUCAGAUGUGAAAUCCCCGGGCUCAACCUGGGAACUGCAUCUGAUACUGGCAAGCUUGAGUCUCGUAGAGGGGGGUAGAAUUCCAGGUGUAGCGGUGAAAUGCGUAGAGAUCUGGAGGAAUACCGGUGGCGAAGGCGGCCCCCUGGACGAAGACUGACGCUCAGGUGCGAAAGCGUGGGGAGCAAACAGGAUUAGAUACCCUGGUAGUCCACGCCGUAAACGAUGUCGACUUGGAGGUUGUGCCCUUGAGGCGUGGCUUCCGGAGCUAACGCGUUAAGUCGACCGCCUGGGGAGUACGGCCGCAAGGUUAAAACUCAAAUGAAUUGACGGGGGCCCGCACAAGCGGUGGAGCAUGUGGUUUAAUCCGAUGCAACGCGAAGAACCUUACCUGGUCUUGACAUCCACGGAAGUUUUCAGAGAUGAGAAUGUGCCUUCGGGAACCGUGAGACAGGUGCUGCAUGGCUGUCGUCAGCUCGUGUUGUGAAAUGUUGGGUUAAGUCCCGCAACGAGCGCAACCCUUAUCCUUUGUUGCCAGCGGUCCGGCCGGGAACUCAAAGGAGACUGCCAGUGAUAAACUGGAGGAAGGUGGGGAUGACGUCAAGUCAUCAUGACCCUUACGACCAGGGCUACACACGUGCUACAAUGGCGCAUACAAAGAGAAGCGACCUCGCGAGAGCAAGCGGACCUCAUAAAGUGCGUCGUAGUCCGGAUUGGAGUCUGCAACUCGACUCCAUGAAGUCGGAAUCGCUAGUAAUCGUGGAUCAGAAUGCCACGGUGAAUACGUUCCCGGGCCUUGUACACACCGCCCGUCACACCAUGGGAGUGGGUUGCAAAAGAAGUAGGUAGCUUAACCUUCGGGAGGGCGCUUACCACUUUGUGAUUCAUGACUGGGGUGAAGUCGAAACAAGGUAACCGUAGGGGAACCUGCGGUUG